AUCCUCUGUGCAGAAAAAAAAUUGUGAAAAUGCUUUUCUGCAGGACAUUUGCUGCGUAAGCUGACAACGUACUGAGAAAAGUGAUGCCCUUCAGCGAAGUGGUGUUCUCAGCUGGGGACAUACACUAGGGACAUUCCGAAUCCUUUUGGACCGCUUCACAACGUGCAGGAACGGCUACGCUGUGACGCCGUUGCAGAUAGCAGCGAGCAAUGGACGCUUUUGGACAGGACAUCUGCUGCGUCAGUUGACAACGUACUGAGAGAAGUGAAACCCUUCAGCGAGGUGAUGUUCUCAGCUGGGGACAUACUCUAGGGACAUUCCGAAUCCGCUUGGACCGCUUUACAACGUGCAGGAACGGCUACGCUGUGACGCCGUUGCAGAUAGCAGCGAGCAGUGGACGCUUUUGGACAGGUUAUAUGCUGCGUCCGUUGACAACGUGCUGAGAGAAGGGAAACCGUUCAGCGAGGUGUUCUCAGCUGGAGACAUACACUAGGGACAUUCCGAAUCCUUUUGGACCGCUUCACAACGUGCAGGAACGGCUACGCUGUGACGCCGCUGCAGAUAGCAGCGAGAAGUGGAUGCCCUUGGACAGGUUAUUUGCUGGGUCACUCUACAACGUGCAGCAACGGCGGCGUUGCAACGAUGGCCACGACGCCACCGGUGGGUUGUCAAACAUUUUUGGAAAGGGUCCUUUUCCCUUUUUGGGUCACUUUUUGGUGUGAGGUCCUUUUGUUUGGAAUUACCGACUCUGGGGGUAUGCUCUGGUUAUAUAGAUUGGGGAGUAGCUCUUAGCAGCUGUGGUUAGACGGCACAAUGUGUGUCGAAGCAUCGCCCCUCGACGCACCUCGUUAUAUGCUCCGCUGUUUUUCUAUCUACCGCUACUGUGGUAGAGAAUAACUC
rnacentral:lncRNA from 1 species